ACUCUGGGAUAGCUCAGUUGGUAGAGCAUGCGACUCAAUCUCAGGGUGGUGGGUUCAAGCCCCACAUAGGGCA